UACGUAGGGCGCAAGCGUUAUCCGGAAUUACUGGGCGUAAAGGGCUCGUAGGCGGCCAACUAAGUCAGACGUGAAAUCCCUCGGCUUAACCGGGGAACUGCGUCUGAUACUGGAUGGCUUGAGAUUGGGAGAGGGAUGCGGAAUUCCAGGUGUAGCGGUGAAAAUGCGUAGAUAUCUGGAGGAACACCGGUGGCGAAGGCGGCAUCCUGGACCAACACUGACGCUGAGGAGCGAAAAGCCAGGGGGAGCAAACGGGG
rnacentral:rRNA from 1 species